UCGACCUCACAUUUUAUGCUUGCGAAAAAACAUGCACCAUUGAAGACGAGUGUCUGGUAGGACGACGUACGUCUACGGGCAAACGUCAACCCCUCUGCCUCCGCUUCAGGUGCAAUGCUUAUCGCUAUUUAAUUCUCUGGUUGCGUGGAGAGUGCCCCCACUGUAAUGAGGCAGACGACCUCGCCCCCUCAUCAGACCAAUGGACCGAAGCAGCGGUAUAUUCAGCGUGCAGACGUAUUAGGAGGCAGAUAUAGCAGACAGCAGCGAUAAAAUGAAUCAUGCGAGGAGUCCAGAGAUAUAGCAGACAGCAGCUCUGUUUUAAGUUAAUCUUUGUGUUUACUCUGUUUUCCUUUAUCUCUCCAGUUGAUUACUGCUCUUACGCCCGUGCCGACUAGCAACAAAAUUUGUAUGGAACAUAAGGCUUAUGUCAUGAUUAUUCUAAUGCAUCUGCAGAACUUUCCCAGACAG